rnacentral:rRNA from 1 species
CCCGACUGCUAUUUGGGUGAGGAUAAGCCAUGCGAGUUGAAUGGGAAACCUAAAAAUCCCAUGGCAAACUGCUCAGUAACUCAUGAUCAACUUACCCUAUAGAGGAAAAUAACCUCGGGAAACUGAGGAUAAUGUUCCAUAGUUGAAUCGGCUUGGAAAAGUUUUUCAAUAAAAGGGAUAAGGAAAAUGGUCCUUAUCUGCUAUAGGAUAGGAUCGUGCUCGAUUAUGGUUGUUGGUGAGGUAAAGGCUCACCAAGCCGAUAAUCGAUAGGGGCCGUGGGAGCGGGAGCCCCGAGAUGGGUACUGAGACAACGACCCAGGCCUUACGAGGCGCAGCAGGCGCGAAACCUCCGCAAUACACGAAAGUGUGACGGGGUUACCCAAAGUGUUCAUUAGAACUGUGGUAGGUGAGUAAUGUUCCCUACUAGAAAGGAGAGGGCAAGGCUGGUGCCAGCCGCCGCGGUAAAACCAGCUCUUCAAGUGGUCGGGAUAAUAUUGGGCUUAAAGUGUCCGUAGCCGGUUUAGUAAGUUCCUGGUAAAAUCGGGUAGCUUAACUAUCUAUAUGCUAGGAAUACUGCUAUACUAGAGGGCGGGAGAGGUCUGAGGUACUACAGGGGUAGGGGUGAAAUCUUAUAAUCCUUGUAGGACCACCAGUGGCGAAGGCGUCAGACUGGAACGCGCCUGACGGUGAGGGACGAAAGCCAGGGGAGCGAACCGGAUUAGAUACCCGGGUAGUCCUGGCCGUAAACGAUGCAUACUAGGUGAUGGCACGGCCAUGAGCCGUGUCAGUGCCGUAGGGAAACCGUUAAGUGUGCCGCCUGGGAAGUACGGUCGCAAGGCUAAAACUUAAAGGAAUUGGCGGGGGAGCACCACAAGGGGUGAAGCCUGCGGUUCA